UACGUAGGGAGCGAGCGUUGUCCGGAUUCAUUGGGCGUAAAGAGCUCGUAGGCGGCUUGAUAAGUCGGAUGUGAAACCUCCAGGCUCAACCUGGAGUCGCCAUCCGAUACUGUCAUGGCUAGAGUCCGGUAGGGGCCCACGGAAUUCCUGGUGUAGCGGUGAAAUGCGCAGAUAUCAGGAGGAACACCAAUGGCGAAGGCAGCUCGCUGGGACGGUACUGACGCUGAGGCGCGAAAGCGUGGGGAGCAAACAGG
rnacentral:rRNA from 1 species